rnacentral:rRNA from 1 species
UACGGAGGGUGCAAGCGUUGUUCGGAAUUAUUGGGCGUAAAGCGCGCGCAGGCGGCUUGGCAAGUCGGGUGUGAAAUCCCGGGGCUCAACCCCGUGACUGCAUCCGAUACUGUCAGGCUAGAGGUAGGUAGGGGAGAUCGGAAUCCUGGUGUAGCGGUGAAAUGCGCAGAUAUCAGGAGGAACACCGGUGGCGAAGGCGGAUCUCUGGGCCUUACCUGACGCUCAGGCGCGAAAGCUAGGGGAGCGAACAGG